GGAAGACAUGAGAUCAUGGGUUUAAGUGAGGCUUCAUCAUGCCAAGACAACGUGAUCAGUUAUUCCCAACCUAUAUAACUCACAUACACUGGAGGAAAUAUCUUCAUGGAAUUAAAACCACAUGGAGUAACAUUUCACGUAAGCAGAAUUCAGGAAUGAUUUCAGUAAUUCCAUCCCAAACACACACAGGCAAAGGGAGUGAAGAUUUCUUCAGCAACAUGGUGGCAGAAAGAUCAUGAAAAGAUCUAGGCCAGUCCAAGCUCACUGCAGUUAAAUCUUCAGUCUCCAGCACUGCACUUGGGAAAGCGUCAAGGAGUUGAAUGUAUAUGUAAUUGGAGUGCCAGAAGAAGAGAACUGAGAGAGAGGGGCAGAACAGCUCAUGAGGGGGAAAACCCACUACAUACAAACAAGAAUACUGCAGACUCCUCAUCAGAAUCUAUGCUACCUGUAAAGGCUUGUAAAAGCACAGAGCUGCUCUCACCAUGCAGCCAAAGAAGAAAU
rnacentral:lncRNA from 1 species